rnacentral:lncRNA from 1 species
UUAGGGUUUAAAACCCUAAUGCCGGCUGAAUGGAAAAAGUUCAGUUUAGGGUUUAAAACCCUAAUGUUGACUAAAAGGAAAAAGUUCAGUUUAGGGUUUAAAACCCUAAUGCUGAUUGCAUGGAAAAGCUCAGUUUAGGGUUUAAAAACCCUAAUGCUAGCUGAAUGGAAAAAGUUCAGUUUAGGGUUUAAAACCCUAAUGCUGACUAAAGGAAAAAGUUCAGUUUAGGGUUUAAAACCCUAAUGCUGACUAAAGGAAAAGAGUUCAGUUUAGGGUUUAAAACCCUAAUGCUGACUAAAGGAAAAAGUUCAGUUUAGGGUUUAAAACCCUAAUGCUGAUUGCAUGGAAAAAGCUCAGUUUAGGGUUUAAAACCCUAAUGCUGGCUGAAUGGAAAAAGUUCAAUUUAGGGUUUAAAACCCUAAUGCUGACCAAAGGAAAAAUCCAGUUUAGGGUUUAAAACCCUAAUGUUGAUUGCAUGGAAAAAGCUCAGUUUAGGGUUUAAAACCCUAAUGUUGGCUGAAUGGAAAAAGUUCAGUUUAGGGUUUAAAACCCUAAUGCUGACUAAAGGAAAAAGUUCAGUUUAGGGUUUAAAACCCUAAUGCUGACUAAAGGAAAAAGUUCAGUUUAGGGUUUAAAACCCUAAUGCUGAUUGCAUGGAAAAGCUCAGUUUAGGGUUUAAAAACCCUAAUGCUGGCUGAAUGGAAA